rnacentral:rRNA from 1 species
GACAGAGGAUGCAAGCGUUAUCCGGAAUGAUUGGGCGUAAAGAGCUCGUAGGCGGUGUGUCGCGUCUGCUGUGAAAACUCAGGGCUCAACUCUGAGCUUGCAGUGGGUACGGGCACACUAGAGUGCUGUAGGGGAGACUGGAAUUCCUGGUGUAGCGGUGAAAUGCGCAGAUAUCGAGGAGGAACACCGGUGGCGAAGGCGGGUCUCUGGGCCGUAACUGACGCUGGAGGAGCGAAAGCGUGGGGAGCGAACAGG